GCAAGUCGAUUCGAUUUACCUUCGGGUAUUGAGGAUGGCGGACGGGUGAGUAACGCGUAAGGAACUUGCCUCUUGGUCUGGGACAACUGUUGGAAACGACAGCUAAUACCGGAUAUUAUGAGAUUCUCGCAUGGGAAACUUAUGAAAGCUAUAUGCGCCAAGAGAGAGCCUUGCGUUCCAUUAGCUAGUUGGUGGGGUAACGGCCCACCAAGGCGACGAUGGAUAGCCGGCCUGAGAGGGUGAACGGCCACAAGGGGACUGAGACACGGCCCUUACUCCUACGGGAGGCAGCAGUGGGGAAUAUUGGACAAUGGGCCACAAGCCUGAUCCAGCAAUUCUGUGUGCACGAUGAAGGUCUUCGGAUUGUAAAGUGCUUUCAGUUGGGAAGAAGAAAGUGACGGUACCAACAGAAGAAGCGACGGCUAAAUACGUGCCAGCAGCCGCGGUAAUACGUAUGUCGCAAGCGUUAUCCGGAUUUAUUGGGCGUAAAGCGCGUCUAGGCGGAAAAAUAAGUCUGAUGUUAAAAUGCGGGGCUCAACUCCGUAUUGCGUUGGAAACUGUUUUUCUAGAGUACUGGAGAGGUGGGCGGAACUACAAGUGUAGAGGUGAAAUUCGUAGAUAUUUGUAGGAAUGCCGAUGGAGAAGUCAGCUCACUGGACAGAUACUGACGCUAAAGCGCGAAAGCGUGGGGAGCA
rnacentral:rRNA from 1 species